UACGUAGGGGGCGAGCGUUGUCCGAAGUUACUGGGCGUAAAGCGCGCGUAGGCGGUCAUUUAAGUCUGAGGUGAAAGGUUCAGCGCUCAACGUGAACAGUGCCUUGGAUACUGGGUGACUUGAGUUCGGGAGGGGGCAGUGGAAUUCCAGGUGUAGCGGUGAAAUGCGUAGAUAUCUGGAGGAACACCGAUGGCGAAGGCAGCUGCCUGGCCCAGAACUGACGCUGAGGUGCGAAGGCGUGGGGAGCGAACGGG
rnacentral:rRNA from 1 species